rnacentral:rRNA from 1 species
UGCAAGUCGAACGAUGAUGCCCAGCUUGCUGGGUGGAUUAGUGGCGAACGGGUGAGUAACACGUGAGUAACCUGCCCUUGACUUCGGGAUAACUCCGGGAAACCGGGGCUAAUACCGGAUAUGAGCUACCUUCGCAUGGGGGUGGUUGGAAAGUUUUUCGGUCAAGGAUGGGCUCGCGGCCUAUCAGCUUGUUGGUGGGGUGAUGGCCUACCAAGGCGACGACGGGUAGCCGGCCUGAGAGGGCGACCGGCCACACUGGGACUGAGACACGGCCCAGACUCCUACGGGAGGCAGCAGUGGGGAAUAUUGCACAAUGGGCGAAAGCCUGAUGCAGCGACGCCGCGUGAGGGAUGAAGGCCUUCGGGUUGUAAACCUCUUUCAGCAGGGAAGAAGCGCAAGUGACGGUACCUGCAGAAGAAGCGCCGGCUAACUACGUGCCAGCAGCCGCGGUAAUACGUAGGGCGCAAGCGUUGUCCGGAAUUAUUGGGCGUAAAGAGCUCGUAGGCGGUUUGUCGCGUCUGGUGUGAAAACUCGAGGCUCAACCUCGAGCUUGCAUCGGGUACGGGCAGACUAGAGUGCGGUAGGGGAGACUGGAAUUCCUGGUGUAGCGGUGGAAUGCGCAGAUAUCACGAGGAACACCGAUGGCGAAGGCAGGUCUCUGGGCCGCAACUGACGCUGAGGAGCGAAAGCAUGGGGAGCGAACAGGAUUAGAUACCCUGGUAGUCCAUGCCGUA